rnacentral:rRNA from 1 species
UACAGAGGAGCCAAGCGUUGUCCGGAUUGACUGGGCGUAAAGCGCACGCAGGCGGUUGCGCGCGUGGGGGGUGAAAUCUGGCCGCUUAACGGCCAGGCGCCAUCCCAUACGGCGCGACUGGAGGGCGGCAGAGGUCGAUGGAAUUGCCGGUGUAGUGGUGGAAUGCGUAGAUAUCGGGAGGAACACCAGUGGCGAAGGCGGUUGCCUGGAGCUUUGCUGACGCUGAUGCGCGAAAGCGUGGGGAGCGAUCCGG